rnacentral:rRNA from 1 species
GACGAACGCUGGCGGCGUGCUUAACACAUGCAAGUCGAACGAUGAACCCGGAGCUUGCUCCGGCGGAUUAGUGGCGAACGGGUGAGUAACACGUGAGUAACCUGCCCUUGACUCUGGGAUAACUGCGGGAAACUGUAGCUAAUACCGGAUACGACCCUCGGCGGCAUCGCCAGGGGGUGGAAAGAAUUUCGGUCAAGGAUGGACUCGCGGCCUAUCAGUUAGUUGGUGAGGUAACGGCUCACCAAGGCGACGACGGGUAGCCGGCCUGAGAGGGUGACCGGCCACACUGGGACUGAGACACGGCCCAGACUCCUACGGGAGGCAGCAGUGGGGAAUAUUGCACAAUGGGCGCAAGCCUGAUGCAGCAACGCCGCGUGAGGGAUGACGGCCUUCGGGCUGUAAACCUCUUUUAGUAGGGAAGAAGCGAAAGUGACGGUACCUGCAGAAAAAGCACCGGCUAACUACGUGCCAGCCGCCGCGGUAA